rnacentral:tRNA from 1 species
GUAGACGUUAGCUCAGUGGUUAGAGCACAGGCCUCUGGCUCUCGGGUCCGCGAGUUCGAGUCCUGUCGUUUACU